rnacentral:rRNA from 1 species
UACAGAGGGGGCAAGCGUUGUUCGGAAUUACUGGGCGUAAAGGGCGCGUAGGCGGCCUUCUAAGUCGAACGUGAAAUCCCCGGGCUCAACCCGGGAACUGCGUCCGAUACUGGGAGGCUUGAAUCCGGGAGAGGGAUGUGGAAUUCCAGGUGUAGCGGUGAAAUGCGUAGAUAUCUGGAGGAAUACCGGUGGCGAAGGCGGCAUCCUGGACCGACAUUGACGCUGAGGAGCGAAAGCUAGGGGAGCAAACGGG